GUGGGGAAUUUUGGACAAUGGGCGAAAGCCUGAUCCAGCCAUGCCGCGUGCAGGAUGAAGGCCUUCGGGUUGUAAACUGCUUUUGUACGGAACGAAAAGACUCCUUCUAAUAAAGGGGGUCCAUGACGGUACCGUAAGAAUAAGCACCGGCUAACUACGUGCCAGCAGCCGCGGUAAUACGUAGGGUGCAAGCGUUAAUCGGAAUUACUGGGCGUAAAUCGUGCGCAGGCGGUUAUAUAAGACAGAUGUGAAAUCCCCGGGCUCAACCUGGGAACUGAAGUUGUGACUGUAUAGCUAGAGUACGGUAGAGGGGGAUGGAAUUCCGCGUGUAGCAGUGAAAUGCGUAGAUAUGCGGAGGAACACCGAUGGCGAAGGCAAUCCCCUGGGCCUGCACUGACGCUCAUGCACGAAAGCGUGGGGAGCAAACAGGAUUAGAAACCCGGGUAGUCC
rnacentral:rRNA from 1 species